rnacentral:lncRNA from 1 species
GAAUUCUCCAAAAAGAAUUUCAAAUAACAAAAACAAUGAUUGAGAACUCAACAAUUUCACAGAAAAAAAUAUUAAAGCCCCAGACCAGGCCCAGUGGGACCUUGAAUACAUACUGUAUUUCUUUAAUUCAUGAAUGUACCAUUGGAAUAUAUAUAAUCAACAAUGAUGGAACCUCAUACUGGCUUCUCACCUGUUACACUAGAAAGGACUAAAUGGAAAGAAACUUCUGGAAUUCCUCUCAAUACCAAGAGUAAAUGAAAAGAAAUACCACAUCCCUGGGGGAACCAUAGUGACAAAUGUCAUAAGAAGCCACUUGAAAGAGGUGGAGAAACUGAUUCCUGUUGCUUCCUGACAUAACUCUCUACUAUACUUGGAGAAUUCUGUAGGUGAAGAUUAUCUGAUAAAUGGCUCUUCAAAGUAUAUCUUAAAUCAGAAAUGACCUAAGAAAUUCCGAUUGUUGGUAAAUUAAUUUAAAAAGAACUUAAUGGAAAGGGGCUUCAAGAUGGCUGAGUAGAGCCGCCUGGCAUUUGCCUCCUCCACAAAAAAGGACCAAAACAAUACAAGCAUAGAAGCCAAAUUUGGAACUACUAGAGCCUCUUGGGAAUGUAGCCCAAUGGGAGGAAAGCAGACAUAUGGAAGAGAGUUUUAGGAUAUUUAUGCUUCUUCACAAACAACACAUGUUUCCAGAUUUAAAAAGCUUUGGAACCCGGUUGAUUUUCAGAAUGCUAUCAAUUUUAGUACGAUUGCGCAAACAGAACCAAAGAAA